AUUGAACGCUGGCGGCAGGCUUAACACAUGCAAGUCGAGCGGGGUGAUGGUGCUUGCACUAUCACUUAGCGGCGGACGGGUGAGUAAUGCUUAGGAAUCUGCCUAUUAGUGGGGGACAACAUCUCGAAAGGGAUGCUAAUACCGCAUACGUCCUACGGGAGAAAGCAGGGGAUCACUUGUGACCUUGCGCUAAUAGAUGAGCCUAAGUCGGAUUAGCUAGUUGGUGGGGUAAAGGCCUACCAAGGCGACGAUCUGUAGCGGGUCUGAGAGGAUGGUACGCCACACGGGGACUGAGACACGGCCCAGACUCCGACGGGAGGCAGCAGUGGGGAAUAUUGGACAAUGGGGGGAACCCUGAUCCAGCCAUGCCGCGUGUGUGAAGAAGGCCUUAUGGUUGUAAAGCACUUUAAGCGAGGAGGAGGCUCUUUUGGUUAAUACCCAAGAUGAGUGGACGUUACUCGCAGAAUAAGCACCGGCUAACUCUGUGCCAGCCGCCGCCGUAACAC
rnacentral:rRNA from 1 species